AUAUUUUGAGAGGAAGGGUUUUGGGCCAAUUUCCCUUAUUUUUGGUACCCGCGUAGGGCUAAGUCUUAACAGAAUUUCCCUCUUCAGUUCUCAAUCUCUCGCGUCGCUCCUCGUCGUCUUCCAUCGCUGCACUCUGCAAUUUGGAUCCCGUCUUCGUCUUUGUGUUCCCCAACCAAACGUCAAGGAACGUGGAGUUCUGUUUCAUCGAUCUUCAAGGUGGAUAUAAUAGGAUGGGAGCCAUCAUCUUCUUCCUCUGACCGCAGUAUUAAAUCAAAACCAAAAUCAAAAUCAAAAUGUACUCCACAACCUCCAUAUUAUGGAUUUAUAGACAUUAAUGACCCUGAUGAUCCUAUUAUGACACAGGAAGAGUUGGAGGCAUACUUUCGUGAGUUGAUGCUAGCGAGGGGUUCGAUGUUGAAACUAUUCCUUGCUCUCUUUUAUGCGGUGCAAUUACGCCUAUCAAGGAUAUUAAUAGAUGCUUUACCGAAGAAAUUCAACAUGGUGCUAAGGAAGCCAUCAAAGACUACAACCAAAAGAAUAAUACUAAUUUUGAGGUGGUGGAAAUUGAGAAGGCUAACGUGGGAGGAAGUUGCGGUAUCGGGUUGUACAUCACCUUUAAAGUGAAGCCUUCUGGUACGCCGGCUGAAUACCCAACCACUACAUUUCAGGCUCAAGUACUAGAUUGUACUGCUGGAUAUUUCAUAGAAGUUUGCAGGAUUAAGCCUUCAAAUUAAAUGUCAUUGCCCUUUCUUUUCAUCUCCAUUCUUAUGGAGAUAUCAUAGAUUCAUAACACAAUUACUGCCAUUUUCUCAUAUGGAAAUCGACUGGUUCUUUUCUUCAUUCUUUUA